AGUGAACGCUGGCGGUAGGCCUAACACAUGCAAGUCGAACGGCAGCACAGUAAGAGCUUGCUCUUACGGGUGGCGAGUGGCGGACGGGUGAGGAAUACAUCGGAAUCUACUUUUUCGUGGGGGAUAACGUAGGGAAACUUACGCUAAUACCGCAUACACCUACGGGUGAAAGCAGGGGAUCUUCGGACCUUGCGCGAUUGAAUGAGCCGAUGUCGGAUUAGCUAGUUGGCGGGGUAAAGGCCCACCAAGGCGACGAUCCGUAGCUGGUCUGAGAGGAUGAUCAGCCACACUGGAACUGAGACACGGUCCAGACUCCUACGGGAGGCAGCAGUGGGGAAUAUUGGACAAUGGGCGCAAGCCUGAUCCAGCCAUACCGCGUGGGUGAAGAAGGCCUUCGGGUUGUAAAGCCCUUUUGUUGGGAAAGAAAAGCAGCAGGUUAAUACCCCGCUGUUCUGACGGUACCCAAAGAAUAAGCACCGGCUAACUUCGUG
rnacentral:rRNA from 1 species